CUGCCCAAUGACUCUAGUUCAAUGGCCGCGGUACCCUGACCGUGCAAAGGUAGCAUAAUCACUUGCCCCUUAAUUAGGGGCUGGCAUGAAUGGACACACGAAAGCUUAACUGUCUCAUAAUAAUUAAUAAAAAUUAAUCUUUAAGUGAAAAAGCUUAAAUUCUAUUGCAGGACAAGAAGACCCCGUUGAGCUUUAUUCUCUAUAGACCAUUACUAGUAUUCUCUAUAUUAUAAACCUAAAAAAGAAUUUAGUUGGGGUGACUAAGGAACAUCAAAAUCUUCCUCUUACUAACCAGGGUUAUUUCCCAAAACAAUUGACCCAUAAUCAUGAACAAAAAAAUAAGCUACCACAGGGAUAACAGGCUAAUCUUUCUCAAGAGCCCAAAUUGUCAGAAAGGAUUGGCACCUCGAUGUUGGCUUAGGGGCCCCUAAUAGUGCAGAAGCUAUUAUCGAGUGGUUGGUCAACCUUUA
rnacentral:rRNA from 1 species